AUUGAACGCUGGCGGCAGGCCUAACACAUGCAAGUCGAGCGUGCGGCGGACGGGUGAGUAAUGUCUGGGAAACUGUCUGUUGGAUGGGGAUAACUACUGGAAACGGUUUCUAAUCCCGCAUACCAUCAGCUGUGCCCAGAUGGGAUUAGCUAGAAGGUGGGGUAAUGGCGCACCUAGGCGACGAUCCCUAGCUGGUCUGAGAGGAUGACCAGCCACACGGGAACGGAGACACGGCCCAGACUCCUACGGGAGGCAGCAGUGGGGAAUAUUGCACAAUGGACGAAAGCCUGAUGCAGCAAUGCCGCGUGUGUGAAGAAGGCCUUCGGGUUGUAAAGCACUUUCAGCAGAGAGGCGGUACCCGCAGAAGAAGCACCGGCUAACUCCGUGCCAGCAGCCGCGGUAAUAC
rnacentral:rRNA from 1 species